rnacentral:rRNA from 1 species
GGGUGUAAUCAUAUUAGCACUAAUGCAUUAGAUCCCAUUAGAACUCUGAAAUUAAGCGUGCUUAGGUGAGAGUAGUACUAGGAUGGUGACCUCCUAGGAAGUCCUUGUAUUGCACCCC